GACGAACGCUGGCGGCGUGCUUAACACAUGCAAGUCGAGCGAUGAAGCACCUUCGGGUGUGAAUUAGCGGCGAACGGGUGAGGAACACGUGAGAAAUCUGCCUUCAACUCUGGGAUAACUCCGGGAAACCGGGGCUAAUACCGGAUAUGAGCCUUGAUCGCAUGAUCGGGGCUGGACAGUUUUUCGGUUGAAGAUGAUCUCGCGGCCUAUCAGCUUGUUGGUGAGGUAAUGGCUCACCAAGGCGACGACGGGUAGCCGGCCUGAGAGGGCGACCGGCCACACUGGGACUGAGACACGGCCCAGACUCCUACGGGAGGCAGCAGUGGGGAAUAUUGGGCAAUGGAGGAAACUCUGACCCAGCGACGCCGCGUGAGGGAUGAAGGCCUUCGGGUUGUAAACCUCUUUCAGUAGGGAAGAAGCGAAAGUGACGGUACCUACAGAAGAAGCACCGGCUAACUAUGUGCCAGCAGCCGCAGUAA
rnacentral:rRNA from 1 species